rnacentral:rRNA from 1 species
AUGAUAUGCCCAGUGCUUCUCGCACUUGCUCUAAACAUAGUUGACCUCAAUGAUGAAGUCUACGGACAUGGAGUCCCCAUUGCCUUGAUUGCCAUGGCAGGCUUUACUUUGAUCACCGGCAUUUGCCCCUUCAUGGUGUGCUGCUUCUUACAAGGGUGCCCCAGAAGUAGCGUGAUUCUGGCAAUCACUUCGUCUGCUUGUCUCGUCAUGCUCGCCUGUUUCAUUGCACACUUCAUUAUCUUCAAAUCCAUUUUUAUCACCCUUGGAGUCAUCUGUGGAAUUUUCCUCAUGCUGCGAACCGUCUGCUACUACUACUACUACUUGUAUGAUAGACCAAAUGGCAAUGUUCCAGAACACACGGCCAUAAUGCAAAGCGUACUGGAUGAAUCACAUGAGUUCUUGACCGGCAUCACUGGAAUUCUUUUUCUGGGGUUCCAAGGUUUGACUCUUGAUGGUGACGUUCGGACAAUAAGUCGCAUGGGCGGGGAACCAAUGGGUUACAUCAGCUUCAUCUUCAUCACUCUAGGUGUGGGAUCAAUGCUCCUCACGAUGACCCCACCUAAAAGUUUUGGAGAGAGAAAAGUUGUGCGUCUGACUCUCCUCCUUGAUUGCUUCAUGGCGGGUGGUAUCUUCAUGCUAUUGUUGGUUACCAUGCGUAAGCACACCCAGCUUGAGAUGGUUGCCCUGUUGGUCUUUGUGCCUCCGAUUAUAAGCUUCAGUUCACUUCUGUUCCUAGUCUUGUUCCCGGUGGAUGGACAACAUGAUGAAGACCCCAAGCCAGCGUCACUGGAACUGACAAAGGUUACAUUCACCGGAUUCUUGGCCGUGUCGAUAACAACCAUCAGCAACACUUCGCCGAACAAAUUCACCGCAUUCUUCUUACUAUUAUCCUCCAUGGUUAUUGGGUUUGGACUCUCAUGGAGGCUCCUUUCACAGAACAACACAAAGAGUGGUCUCACUAAUAUUGAUGUUUCACCUGUUCAUGUUGCUUCUGCCGCCAAGAUUGCUUCCAUUUUGACCCACUUUUGUAUUGUAAUCACCACUAUUCUAUUUGUCGCAAUGGCUAGUACUGCCAGCGGUAAAUGA